rnacentral:lncRNA from 1 species
GUCCUAUUCUGUAAAGGCCACGCAGGUUCCAGGCGUUCUGCGUUCCGCAGGACAUUUGGCCAACCCUACCUCGUCGGUGGGCUGCCCAGUCCUUGAGACUCGUUCUUCAUCAUCAAGGCGAGAACACGGCAGCAUCCAGGUGGGCAUGGUGCAGGAGGAGCUGAAAGUUCUACAUAUCCUUUUGAAGGCUGCUAGCAGAAUACUGGCUUCCAGGCAGCUAGGAUGAGAAAGCCCACAUCCACUGUGACACACCUCCUCCAACAAGGUCACACCUACUCCAGCAGAGCCAUAGCCAGCUCCCUGGGCCGGGCAUAUCCAAACCAUAACAUGAGCUUUGCACAGCAGUACCGCUGGAGACUGGUGGAUUCUCUUGAGCAUCUGUACAGGAAAUUGAUAAGAAAAUUUUACCUUUAGAGCUUUCCUAUCCCUUCUGCAGGGGGCUUACAGCUAAUUUGAGGGGAUAGGGUUCCCAGGAUUCUGUGUGUCAUUUGCCACUUGUGAUCAUUUCCCAUUUAUAUGGCAUGCCUGUUCAUAUACUUGUUGUACCUUGUGCCUACUCCUGACUGGUGAACUUUGAAUAGAAUGUGAAUAAGAUACCUUAUCCAUCUGAGACCUAGAUAUAAUACUGAAAUUGUAUAUUUCUCAAAGUUGCUCAAAGAUUCAGCUUUUGGUUAUAUUUUUCCCAAUGUAAAUUACAGAAGAAGUGAGCAGAGGAUUCAGAUAUGAAUCUAAUUUGUUUGAAAGUAUCAAAUAACUGUUACACACAGUUUAUGUUGGCUAGUUUUCUAUGAAUUUGACACAAGGUAGAGGCAUUUGAGAAGGGGGAACCUUAGUUCAGAAAAUGCCCCUAUUAUAGGUCAAACAUGUGAAACAUUUUUUGUUUGGUUGGUUGGUUUUAUUUUUCCAAGACAGGGUUUCUCUGUGUAGCCCUGACUGUCCUGGAACUUGUUCUGUAGACAGGCUGUCUUCAAACUCACAAAGAUCUGCUUGCCUCUGACUUCCGAGUGCUGGAACUAAAGACCACCACUUCACUGCUGCAUUUUCUUGAUUAAUGAUGGAUGAUCAAGUGUCCAGCACAUUGAAGGUAGUGCUACCCAUGGGCUAAUGGUCCUGGAGAGCAUAAGAAAUCAGUUUGAGCAAGCCAUGUGAGCAAGCCAGUAAGCAGCACCCCUCCAUGGCCUUUGUAUCAGCUCCUCUCUCCAGCUUCCUGCCUUUAGUUUCUGCCCUGACAUCCCUAGAUGAUGGAUUAUUAACUGUAAAAUGCAAUAAACCUUUUCUUCCCC